rnacentral:rRNA from 1 species
AUUGAACGCUGGCGGCAGGCCUAACACAUGCAAGUCGAGCGGAUGAGAGGAGCUUGCUCCUUGAUUUAGCGGCGGACGGGUGAGUAAUGCCUAGGAAUCUGCCUGGUAGUGGGGGAUAAUGUUCCGAAAGGAACGCUAAUACCGCAUACGUCCUACGGGAGAAAGCAGGGGACCUUCGGGCAUUGCGGCAUCAGAUGAGCCUAGGUCGGAUUAGCUAGUUGGUGAGGUAAUGGCUCACCAAGGCGACGAUCCGUAACUGGUCUGAGAGGAUGAUCAGUCACACUGGAACUGAGACACGGUCCAGACUCCUACGGGAGGCAGCAGUGGGGAAUAUUGGACAAUGGGCGAAAGCCUGAUCCAGCCAUGCCGCGUGCGCGAAGAAGGUCUUCGGAUUGUAAAGCACUUUAAGUUGGGAGGAAGGGCAGUAAGCUAAUACCUUGCUGUUUUGACGUUACCGACAGAAUAAGCACCGGCUAACUUCGUGCCAGCAGCCGCCGUAACAC